AUUGAACGCUGGCGGCAGGCCUAACACAUGCAAGUCGAGCGGAUGAAGAGAGCUUGCUCUCUGAUUUAGCGGCGGACGGGUGAGUAAUGCCUAGGAAUCUGCCUGGUAGUGGGGGAUAACGUUCCGAAAGGAACGCUAAUACCGCAUACGUCCUACGGGAGAAAGCAGGGGACCUUCGGGCCUUGCGCUAUCAGAUGAGCCUAGGUCGGAUUAGCUAGUUGGUGAGGUAAUGGAUCACCAAGGCGACGAUCCGUAACUGGUCUGAGAGGAUGAUCAGUCACACUGGAACUGAGACACGGUCCAGACUCCUACGGGAGGCAGCAGUGGGGAAUAUUGGACAAUGGGCGAAAGCCUGAUCCAGCCAUGCCGCGUGUGUGAAGAAGGUCUUCGGAUUGUAAAGCACUUUAAGUUGGGAGGAAGGGCAGUAAGUUAAUACCUUGCUGUUUUGACGUUACCGACAGAAUAAGCACCGGCUAACUUCGUGCCAGCAGCCGCGGUAAUAC
rnacentral:rRNA from 1 species